AUACGUAGGGAGCGAGCGUUGUCCGGAAUUACUGGGUGUAAAGGGUGCGCAGGCGGCCAUUUAAGUCAGCGGUUAAAUCGUGGGGCUCAACCCCAUUCUGCCGUUGAUACUGGGUGGCUUGAUUGCGGUCGAGGUUGGCGGAAUUCGUUGUGUAGCGGUGAAAUGCAUAGAUAUGACGAAGAACACCGAUUGCGUAGGCAGCUGACCAGACCGCAAAUGACGCUCAUGCACGAAAGUGCGGGGAUCGAACAGGAUUAGAUACCCUGGUAGUCCGCACAGUAAACGAUGAAUACUUGUUUUCGGCGAUAUAAUGUCGGAGGCAAAGCGAAAGCGAUAAGUAUUCCACCUGGGGAGUACGCCGGCAACGGUGAAACUCAAAUGAAUUGGCGGGG
rnacentral:rRNA from 1 species